AUUGCAAUCAAAUAAAAUCCCUAUUAGGGAUUGAAAC
rnacentral:other from 1 species